UUUAUUUGGCGUGACAAGAUCAAUGACUUGGUGGAGUUCCCUGUUAGGAACCUGGACCUGAGCAAGUUCUGCAUUGGUCAGAAAGAGGAGCAGCUGCCCAGCUACGAUCUAUAUGCUGUCAUCAACCACUAUGGAGGCAUGAUUGGUGGCCACUACACUGCCUGUGCACGCCUGCCCAAUGAUCGUAGCAGUCAGCGCAGUGACGUGGGCUGGCGCUUGUUUGAUGACAGCACAGUGACAACGGUAGACGAGAGCCAGGUUGUGACGCGUUAUGCCUAUGUACUCUUCUACCGCCGGCGGAACUCUCCUGUGGAGAGGCCCCCCAGGGCAGGUCACUCUGAGCACCACCCAGACCUAGGCCCUGCAGCUGAGGCUGCUGCCAGCCAGGUGAGGCAUGUGGGAGGCUUUACAGAAUAGUGGGGGACAGUUCACAGACUGGGGCAGGGUUGGGGAAUAUAGCUUCCUCUCCUCCAGCCACAGGCCCCUUGAGCCUUGGGAUUCAUGAGAAUUGCAGAGUUCUCUUAACAUCAAAGCUUCAGCCAGAGGCAUCCCCAUGCC
rnacentral:sRNA from 1 species